GAAGUCCCGGCGCGGUGGAGUCGGGAGGCGGGGCGUGCGGAGCCGUCGAGCGCCCAUUGGCCGGCCAGGCCCAGUCGCCCCGAGUCCACGUGACAACAACAGGGCUCCAGCCCCGGGCGGGAGCGCGGGAGAAAGUGGAGCUGAGAUUGUAGGAAAUUUGGAGUUAGAGUUUCCAGCCUCUCCGGCCAGCAGUCUCCACUACGUCCUGGGAAACAUAUAUCAAAUGGAGUUGAAGAGAAAAAGGUGGUUGGGGCCACAGGAUGUUGGAAACCUCAGAGAUAAUCUGUGAACAUCCUCCUCCUCUAGGUGAGGAUAUAUACCCAGAGAAGAGAACUACAUGGAUCCCUGAACUGGAAGAAUAGGCUGGUGAACAGAGGACAGAUCGAUGUGAGUUUUCAAGACUAGGGCGGUGCACUCUGCAAGGUAAGGAUAUUGAAUGCUCCUCCCAGUUUGGAAACAGGGCUGGCCUGACAGUUGACAGAAACGGUCCGUGACAGGGACAAUGGACGCAACAGACACCUUUGCUCCUGUGGUAAGUCCUGCUCAGUAACACCUGCCUCGCUGCCCAGUGCAUUUUUUCCUUGUGGUAUCCCCUCCUACUUUCCCCACUAGAGUGCACAUAAAUCUUAAGAACACCAUGGAUUGGCCUCUAGGACUGGGAUAUGUAGAGUGGUUUCCAAAGACACUUAAUUUGCAAUCAGGAAGUAACUCAGACAUCAAGCUAUUUUGGCUUAAUUAAGAAAAAAAGAUCUCUGACAGCUACAAGUGGAAAGUUCUUGGGAUGGGACAGCUUUUAAUAGCUCCAGACUUGGCAACCUUCAAAAGAAGUGCUGCCAGGUCUUAAUUUUAAAACUAAGCCUAUAUUUAUGCAACAUUUAAACAACUGGUUAAUUUAGUGAACUAUCGCCACAAUUUGAUUUGACGACUUGUAGAUGAACAGACCUUAGAUUAACUAUUUCACCUUCCAAUCACUUGUCAAGAUGUUGCAAAAGGAAGCUGAUUUCUGUUUCACACAACUGAGAUUUAUGGUAUCAUUAAAGAGCCAAGGUUCAAUGACUUUAAACUGUGCUUGAAUAAUGACAUAAAACACUGUGUUACAUUAAUAAUGGUGGGGAUAUGAAGAUUUGCUUUUAAACUUAGUGUGACGUUUUGGCUUUUACUUCAGUGACAUAUUUAUCAAAGAUAAGUCUGUGCUGAGUGUUCAAAUGUGCUUUUAACCAAGCUUUUAUCUUAGAAAACUACAGCAGUCUUUUUAUUUUGCAUUUUAUGAUGUUAAUCUCUUUCCUCCGAUUUACCCUAUACUGUUAAGGAAAUCUUAAAUAUUAUUUCAUAGUGUAAUUUUUCUCCUUAAAAACUUUAAUGCUGUAUAUAUGUACAGAUAUUAUCAUACAUAUAUCUAAUUGGACAUAUGAAAAAUAAUAAAAUUAUGGAUAGAUAUACACAAAGAUAAUGGAUAUGGAAGAUUUAAUUGCAUCUUAAAAUUCUUGUUUCUUAUCUGUGUUGUCCUAUUUUCUGCAAGGGGCAUAUCUUGCCUAUGUAAAAAUGUUUUUAAUUUCUUUUUAUUUUUAAAAACUUCCAUAAGGCCCACUGCCUUGGUUAAAAAAGAAACAGGAAAAGUAAAAAAAGUAGAAAAAGUAGAAAGCACAUAAGAGUACAGAAAAAAUCCAAACAUGGUAGUAAUCAUAUCAUAAUCAAUGUAAACAAGUUAAAUUCUUCAGUUAAAAACAAUCUCAAAUUGAAUUUUAAAACAAAUACAAAAAUCAGCCAUAUUCAGUUCAUGGGAGAUACACUUAAAACAUUCAGAUAAAGGUUUAAAGUCAAGGGACAGAAAAAGUUCGUUUACCUCUCAGUGGUAAACUAAACAAAUUGGUGUAGUUAUUUUAUUGUCAGAAAAAGGAAACUUAAAGUCAAGAAGCAUUCCUAGAGAUGAAUACUUCAAAUCACCUCUCAGAUAUGAGUUCUAUAUUUUUUGAAGUUUAUUUAUUUUGAGAGAGAGACAGAACACAUGAGCAGGAGAGAGGCAGAGAGAGAGGGAGAGAGAAAGAAUCCCAACCAGGCUUCGCACUGCCAGUGCAGAGCCCAAUAUGGGUCUCGGACCCAUGAAAUGUGAGAUCAUGACCUGAGCCAAAGUCAAGAGCUCGACCCUUAACUGACUGAGCCACCCAGGUGCCCCAAGAGUUCUAUUCCUUUUAAAGUAGUCUUCAUGCCCAAUGUGGGGCUCAAACUCACGACCUCAAGAUCAAGAGUUGCAUGCUCUACCAGCUAAGUUAGCCAGGUGCCCCUAACAGUUUUAUUUUUAUAUGCACCUAAUAAUAUAGUCUCCAUUUGCACUAGAAGUUUUUAUAAUAUGUAUCUCAGUAGUAGAUCAAAGCAGACAAAAACCAUCAGCAAAGCUAUGUAAGAUUGAAGCGUACAGUUAACAAGUUUGAUCUGUUUAACAUUCAGAGAACGUUACACUUUACAGUUGGAAAAUAAACAUUGAUAUCAUACAACUCAUAUUUCCUAAAUCCAAUGAAGUUAGAAAUUGGUAGCAAUUAUGAAUCUAGGGAGAAAAAAAACAUACUGAAACACUUAAUACUUUUUCAAAGAACCAAUAGAUUUCUAAAAUUCAUAAUCAAAAUUAUAAAUAUUUAGAACUAAUUGGUAACAAAAAUAUUAUAUAAUAAAAAUUUGGGGUAGAAACUAAAGUAAGUUUUGGUAUAGGUUUUAUAGCCGUAAGUACUUACAUUAGAGGUAGGCUCAAAAUUAACGAUCUAGGGGUGCCUGGGUGGCGCAGUCGGUUAAGCGUCUGACUUCAGCCAG